rnacentral:lncRNA from 1 species
GGCAGCGCAGGCUAGGGAUUAGGGUUUCUGACAAUAGUUUAGGUUGUGGGCCACUGGGCCAUUAGGGUUUUUAUUUUUAUUUUUUGGGCCAUUUGGGUUUAUAAGUUUGGGCCUGAUGAUUUGUGAAUGAACUUGGACUCUUAAUGGAUUCUGUUGUUUUUAUUUUUUUUUGUUUGGGUUUUUUUGGUUGGGCCCGGGCAAAAUUGGGCUUCUACACUAUCAUGUGUAUAUGGGUGUGAAAACCACAUAUUUAGAAUACAAAUGCGUGUUUAAAAAUAACAUAUAAUAAAUAAUGAAACAUAUGAUUUGAAACUAAUUAUCAUAAUAGCACAUGAAAUAUGCACGAUAUUAAAAUUUUAAAAAAAAUAGAUUAGAUUGUGAGUAAAACGAAAUUUUAAC